rnacentral:rRNA from 1 species
UUUUAGAUUGAAAUAAUUCUAAGUCGUGCCUGCUCACUGAUUAAUAUAUUUAAGAGCCGCAGUAAUUUGACUGUGCAAAGGUAGCAUAAUCAAUAGUUUUUUAAUUGAAAACUGGAAUGAAUGGUUUGACGAGAAAUUGACUGUCUCUUAAUAACAUUUAGAAUUUAACUUUUAAGUUAAAAGGCUUAAAUAUUUUCCAUAGGACGAUAAGACCCUAUAGAGCUUUAUAUUUUAAUUAUAUAAAAUUUUAUGUUUACUUUAUUUUUAUAUUUUAUAUAUAUUUUGUUGGGGUGAUAUAAAGAAUAUUUAAACUCUUUAUUAUUAUUACAUUAAUUUAUGUUUUUUUUGAUCCAAAAUUUUUGAUUAUAAGAUUAAGUUACCUUAGGGAUAACAGCGUAAUUAUUUUUGAGAGUUCUUAUUGACAAAAUAGAUUGCGACCUCGAUGUUGGAUUAAGAUAAAAUUUUGGUGUAGAGGCUAAAAAAUUAGGUCUGUUCGACCUUUAAAUUCUU